rnacentral:rRNA from 1 species
UACGUAGGGUGCAAGCGUUGUCCGGAAUUAUUGGGCGUAAAGAGCUCGUAGGCGGUCUGUCGCGUCGGAUGUGAAAAUCCAGGGCUCAACCCUGGACCUGCAUUCGAUACGGGCAGACUAGAGUUCGGUAGGGGAGACUGGAAUUCCUGGUGUAGCGGUGAAAUGCGCAGAUAUCAGGAGGAACACCGGUGGCGAAGGCGGGUCUCUGGACAGUUCCUGACGCUGAGGCACGAAGGCUAGGGGAGCAAACGGG